GCGGUGUGCGGAAUUGCAGACGCACCAGAUUUAGAUCUGGCGCUUAACGGCGUGGGUUCAAGUCCCUUCACCCGCA
rnacentral:tRNA from 1 species